AGACACACCUUUGAUCUUGCUGAAAGAUGGACUCAGCAUGUUUGCUCUAAUGACUAAGUGAAAUGCGGCAUUCCAAAAGAACUCACUGUCCUGAUUGGGAUAGCAGAGAAAGCUGGGGACAUGAAAGCUAUCGUGGAAGUCACAAGCGGAAGAGGAGAUCUCAUAGUAGCACACAAGAGAACAGGCAUUGUAAACCACAUCACCAGUUUAAAGAAUCUGAUUGUCAUUAUUUAGAAGCAAGGUCCUUGAAUGAGCGAGAUUAUCGGGACCGGAGAUACGUUGACGAAUACAGGAAUGACUACUGUGAAGGAUAUGUUCCUAGACAUUAUCACAGAGACAUUGAAAGCGGGUAUCGAAUCCACUGCAGUAAAUCUUCAGUCCGCAGCAGGAGAAGCAGUCCUAAAAGGAAGCGCAAUAGACACUGUUCAAGUCAUCAGUCACGUUCGGUAUGAUUGGUUUUGUUUUCAAUUUGAGUGGAGUUUUAUUUGUGUGUACUCUUAACGAGCUGAUAAGUUUCUAAUUUUUUAUAUAUAUAUAUAUAAAAUACUAUUUGGAUAUAUUAUAAUUGUAUUUAUAUUACUUAAAUCCUUAAAGGAAACCUCCAAAUUCUUGUAGCUGAUCUGUAUAUUUAUUAGCUAGCCCUCAUUUGCCCACAUUUCCUCAUAUUCUGCAGACCAGAUAAUGAGUUUAUUGAUUUUAAUAAUAAAACUAUUUUUUUAUUUGUAACAUAUUCUUAUGAAAAAAUCAUGCACCCAUAUCUUUUCUUUCAUCUUAAGCAUUUUUUUUUUCUUAGAAACCCUUUAUCUGGUACUUGAAAAUAAAUGUGAAAUAUUGCACUGGUGGACACCUGAAUGUUACUAACCUGCAUAGAGCAUAGUUCCAUAGUCCAGUGCAUCAUUGUCUGCAAUGAAUUCUUUUGAAGUUGUGAAAAUGGGUGCUGAAUGGGAAACAUCCAAAAAGUCUGCCCCCCCCUUUUUUUUUUUAACACUCAGACAUCUUCACCUGCUUGAACAGUGAACUUUGAAUUAGUUUCUCCCCAAGUUUUCUUCAGUAAAACUAGUUUUUAUUAGAUUGAACAUUGAAAUUAACUAGCCUUUAUUUUCCCCUUUUAUUUUAAUCAUGUAUAUUUUAAAAUAUUGCUAAAUUAGAAUAAUUUCAAAUAGUCUUGACAUUUUAAAACAUUUUUCUGAAAAACUAGACAUCUCAAUUCACAGCAUAUGCUGUUUAUAGCAAGAGAUAAGUAAAUCAUGACAUUGCAUUCUUUAAAUUUCAGACUUCAAUUAAAUCAGUAUUUUAAAGAGACAA
rnacentral:lncRNA from 1 species